rnacentral:rRNA from 1 species
GACGAACGCUGGCGGCGUGCUUAACACAUGCAAGUCGAGCGGUAAGGCCCUUUCGGGGGUACGACGAGCGGCGAACGGGUGAGUAACACGUGGGUGACCUGCCCUCAGCUCUGGGAGUAAGCCCGGGAAACUGGGUCUAAUACUGGAUAUGACUCCAUGACGCAUGUUGUGGGGUGGAAAGCCUUGUGCGGCUGAGGAUGGGCCCGCGGCCUAUCAGCUUGUUGGGGGGUGAU